AGAGUUUGAUCAUGGCUCAGGACGAACGCUGGCGGCGUGCUUAACACAUGCAAGUCGAACGGUGACGGGGAGCUUGCUCCCCUGAUCAGUGGCGAACGGGUGAGUAACACGUGGGCAACCUGCCCCUAGCUCUGGGAUAACUCCGGGAAACCGGGGCUAAUACCGGAUACGACAUCGAGUGACAUCACUUGACGUGGAAAGUUUUUCGGCUAGGGAUGGGCCCGCGGCCUAUCAGCUUGUUGGUGGGGUAACGGCCCACCAAGGCGACGACGGGUAGCCGGCCUGAGAGGGCGACCGGCCACACUGGGACUGAGACACGGCCCAGACUCCUACGGGAGGCAGCAGUGGGGAAUAUUGCGCAAUGGGCGAAAGCCUGACGCAGCGACGCCGCGUGAGGGACGAAGGCCUUCGGGUUGUAAACCUCUUUCAGCAGGGACGAAGCCGCAAGGUGACUGUACCUGCAGAAGAAGCACCGGCUAACUACGUGCCAGCAGCCGCGGUAAUACGUAGGGUGCAAGCGUUGUCCGGAAUUAUUGGGCGUAAAGAGCUCGUAGGCGGUUUGUCACGUCGGAUGUGAAACCCUGAGGCUCAACCUCAGGCCUGCAUUCGAUACGGGCAGACUAGAAUUCGGCAGGGGAGACUGGAAUUCCUGGUGUAGCGGUGAAAUGCGCAGAUAUCAGGAGGAACACCGGUGGCGAAGGCGGGUCUCUGGGCCGAUAUUGACGCUGAGGAGCGAAAGCGUGGGGAGCAAACAGGAUUAGAUACCCCAGUAGUCC
rnacentral:rRNA from 1 species